AACACUCCGGCUACGACCCUUCCCCCGCGCAACUCGCGCACUCCCGCGCAGAGGGGAGUACGAGUGUGCAUAAGUAAUCGCGAUUCACGGCUGAGGUGGACGCGUUAAUUAUAAUCUUCCUACCAAAUACAUACAAAUUGAACUUGAUAAUAAUUAGUUCGUGUGAAGUCUUGUGCCCUUAGUAUAGUGCUAAAUAACCCCGGAUUGGGGUUUUUUCCACCUACUGCUGCGGAAUAAUACUUCGGCUGUCUUGUUGGUCCUCUACGUUCCAUCUACUCUCCGCAACAGUGCAAGUUAAGUGGUGUUACGUGCCGGAUACGGGAAUCCUCUACUCUCCGCAACAGUGCAAGUUAAGUGGUGUUAAGUGCCGGAUACGGGAAUCCUAUGAGUGUGCGAGAACCCACCUAAAUUCUUAUAUAUAUUGUAAAUGGUUGAAAUCCUGUUGUGCCAAUAAAUAAUCUGUAAUACUAUCUA